GACGAACGCUGGCGGCGUGCUUAACACAUGCAAGUCGAACGGAAAGGCCCUGCUUUUGUGGGGUGCUCGAGUGGCGAACGGGUGAGUAACACGUGAGUAACCUGCCCUUGACUUUGGGAUAACUUCAGGAAACUGGGGCUAAUACCGGAUAGGAGCUCCUGCUGCAUGGUGGGGGUUGGAAAGUUUCGGCGGUUGGGGAUGGACUCGCGGCUUAUGAGCUUGUUGGUGGGGUAGUGGCUUACCAAGGCUUUGACGGGUAGCCGGCCUGAGAGGGUGACCGGCCACCUUGGGACUGCGAUACGGACCAGACGCCUACGGGAGGCAGCAGUGGGGAAUAUUGCACAAUGGGCGGAAGCCUGAUGCAGCAACGCCGCGUGCGGGAUGACGGCCUUCGGGUUGUAAACCGCUUUCGCCUGUGACGAAGCGUGAGUGACGGUAAUGGGUAAAGAAGCACCGGCUAACUACGUG
rnacentral:rRNA from 1 species